GUGUUGUAUCAAAGGAGAGGGUCAGCACUCCCCUUGACAAGGACGGAAGAGGCCCUUGGGUCUCACCACACGCAUAUGGUUAAGGCCACCUAACUUCAUGGCAUGUAACCACUGUGCCUCAUUUUUCU
rfam:Cavia porcellus supercont2_61 genomic scaffold, whole genome shotgun sequence.